rnacentral:piRNA from 1 species
UGCAGUGUCGGUUUUUCUCAUUCAUGGG